UAUAAAAAGUUUAGUUUGUUUAUUGUUAAGCACAAAGCUUUACAUUUGCUACAUGUGCUUUGCCCAACACGAGUAUCGAAACCUGGUUUUGAGCGUCGUAAGCCUACAGACUUGUCGCUGAGCCACUGGGAGGCACCUUUAUAGAAAUAAUUGAAGUGCUUGACACGGAUGAAGCAUUCUAACUAAUCUAAGCAUGGACCAAAUGUGAGCAAGAGGGAUGAAGUCGAAUAAUGAUUUGUUUCAUGGCAUAUUUAUCUGCCUUAGUUGAACUCUCACACUUUAUUACCAAAUCUGCUGAUGACGAGAAGUGAAAGAGUAAUUCGCCAUUUGCAUUUGAUAAAGAUACCAAGUUUCAGAAAUGUGUUUUUGGCAUCUUUUUAUUUAAUGUCAGUGAUAAAAUGUUAUUUGAAAAUUUUAAUAUAGCCCUUAUUGAAGUUAUUCAGUAAAACUAAGACUAAUGUCAUGAGCACAGACUAAGGGAAUUCCGUGAAGCGUAAGUGGAGUUCUGGGACUGGGAGGCUGAGUAGGAGCCUGUUAGUGUUACACUGACAUUUUCAAUUUCAGGGCUUUGAAAGAAUAUCAACAUUUUGACAGUCUGCAGAGACAGACAAACUACAUAGGCUGAUAUUUGAGCUGAAAUGAGAAUAUUGAAAAUGCUCUACUGUCUCUGAAUGCUGUGCUGGAGCUUACAAGUCUUCUGGAUCCUAGUGUAUAAAGAGCAUUGUUCAAUUUGGAAUUUUGCUUUUUAAACAUUCAGUCUUUCUACUAAGCAAGUGCUUUGUGUUCAAAGAAAUUGAAGACAAAUAAAAUUGUUCCAAGAAAGUUUUUCUUAAAAGCAGCCUCUGGUUUCCUACCCAUGCUAAACGGACUAAAUUACUUGUCACAAGAGAUUAUGAAUGUGAAAUCUGCCAUAGAUGCUUCACAGCCAAACCUAGUCUGAAGAGGCAUAAGAUUGUGAUGCACUCUGAUAUUCGUCCUUUAUUCCAUUGUAACUUGUGUUCAAGAAUUUUUUCCUGGAAAGACAAUUUGGAACGACACAAGCGAAUUGCACACAACCAGAUGUCUGUGGGUUUUGAUUAACAAAUAGUAUUUUCCACAUUUUUCAGAAUAGUGAUGAUUUAUUGGUUUACUUAGCUGCUACUGGAUGAGUUCUUUCAGGUGGGCAUGUGGACUACUCUUCACACCUUCAUCACCAUCUGGCUGUCUUGUAUCCCGAAGAUUACUGUCUGCCUGUGCCAUUCUACAUAGUCUACCCUCUGCCUCUGGACUGAAGCAUCAACUUCUCCAGAUGUUUGGAAAUGGGAUUACAUCUUCCAUCUAUAUGAAAAGUUAAGACUUCUACAGAAGAAUUUCUUUCAAAGAUGUUAUCCUCAGAGUUAUCAACUGAUUUAAAUCAUAGUUAAAAGAGUGGUUAUAAAGUAUUUUAAAUCAAAUUGUAAUUUUAUGGUAUUCUUAGACGUUAUCUAUUGUUGUGAAUAUUACAAUUUAUUGAAAUAAUCUUUGAAACUCUCACUGUGAUGUAAUUUUGUUCUUUUGAUCCAGUCAAAUUGAUUCUGUGGUUUUGAGAAAAAGUGUUUUUAUACAUUCAUUUGGUGGUUGAUUUAACUAAUAUUUAAUAAUUUUUUGUGGCCUUUAUAACAGCUCAUUAGCUCAAUGUGUGUAAUUUGGUGUAUUGGUAGUAAGAUUAGUGAUUAAUUGACAUUAGACAAAUAAAUAUUAUUCAAGAAACUGUUAUUUGUUUUUUAUUUAUUUUCUCAUAGCUGUAGAUUGUGAAUGUUCUACAUAACUAUCAUACUGGGACAGUUUUAGGUUCAACACGUAUACCUAAGUAAGGGCACUCUCCUAAAAUGUCAUGUAGAUGUUUAAAUUUCCAAUCAAAUUUCUUUCUUCUUCAAACAGCACAGUGGUUUAUUCUAACUGUACCAAUGUUAAUUUCUGUCCACCUUAUGUAUAACUUAAACAGUUGAAAACAUUUUAAAAUAAUAAAAAGUUGCAGGAAACAUUUUCCUCACUUUUACUCAAGUUAUAUUUUUUUCAUUAAUUUAUAUGUUAAAUAUUAUAAAAGUUUAUGAUGAUUAGACACUUUUGAAAUAAUCUAUAUUUGAGGCUAAAUAUAUGAACACAUUUUUAGUGAUAUGUUGUAGUAAACAUGGACACUAUGUAAAUCCUUUUUCAUUUCUUAAAAGUAACUUUAAUAAGUUAGAUUUUGCUAGGUUAAAAAUGCUUUAUCCAAAGAUUGUGUCACAAGUUAUGUAGACAAAAUUCCAGAUGUUAGCAGUGUUUAUGUGAAAAAGUCAAGCUAAAAAUGUGAGUAGAGCUUUUAAUAUUUUAUUGAUAAAGAAAGCAAUAGAAUAUUAUUUUAUUAUGUACAGAGCAUUUAAAUAUAGAUAAUUUUUUUCUUACCAUUCUAAUAUAAAGAUGUAUGUUAAUAUGUUUAUUAAAAAGUCAGUUAACAAGGCUUUACUGCAUACUUGACCCUAAAAAACAAAAGAUUAACAUUCUCUUAUCAAAAGUAUAAUAAACCUACAUUUUUGUUAUUAUUUUCUGUGGAAUGUUAUAGACAGAAAUAUGGUCUGUGAAAAACAAAAUGCUUUCAUAACAUAUGUUAUAUUUUGUAAAUGCUUUUUUAUUUUCUGAAACAUUUUCCAAGAAGCUGUACAGAAAAAUAGACAUCUUAAUAACAUAUGCUAUAUAUGUCAGUAGUUAACUACUCCCUUUUUAGCAAACUUGGAUAUGAUCAUAUGAGUGUUUUACUGAGUACCUAUGUGUUAUAGAAUAAAAAAUUUAAAAGUUAAAAAUAUGCAACUACUAUGAUACUACUGUGUUUAAUGCAAAUUUAGAUCUAUUGGAUGAUUAUUUAAUAGGAAUAAGAAUCAAAAUUUCCAGCUUAAAUAUGGAGAUGAAAAAAAAUUAAUUUCUGUUUGAACCAUAAAAAUUUUAUUUUUAAUAUCAUAUUAUAGAGAACUCUUAAAUAAUCUUUCAAAUAACUGGCAGCACUAAAUACACUUUAUAAGAAAAAAUUUGACACACAAGUGUAAGCAUAGUUUAGUGUUAACAGACAGAUUAUGGGUAUUUUUUAAAACAUUUUUGAGACUUACCAGAAUUGAAUUUUAUCUUACCCAACAAUUCAAAAAUAAACUAAAGUUAUGCAUUUGUUACUCUGACUAAAAUGAGUUGAGUUUCUUUUGAAUCCAUUGUUUUGUUAUCAAUUUUUUCAAUGUUAAAGGAAUGUGUUUGUGAGUUGUACUGAAGUGUUGUAAUUUUAAAAUUUUCAUAAACAAUGUAAAAUUUCUA
rnacentral:lncRNA from 1 species